rnacentral:rRNA from 1 species
UACGUGGGUGGCAAGCGUCGUCCGGAUUUACUGGGUGUAAAGGGCGUGUAGCCGGGCUGACAAGUCAGAUGUGAAAUCCGGGGGCUCAACCCCCGAACUGCAUUUGAAACUGUUGGUCUUGAGUAUCGGAGAGGCAGGCGGAAUUCCUAGUGUAGCGGUGAAAUGCGUAGAUAUUAGGAGGAACACCAGUGGCGAAGGCGGCCUGCUGGACGACAACUGACGGUGAGGCGCGAAAGCGUGGGGAGCAAACAGG